rnacentral:rRNA from 1 species
GAUGAACGCUGGCGGCGUGCCUAAUACAUGCAAGUCGAGCGAACAGACGAGGAGCUUGCUCCUCUGACGUUAGCGGCGGACGGGUGAGUAACACGUGGAUAACCUACCUAUAAGACUGGGAUAACUUCGGGAAACCGGAGCUAAUACCGGAUAAUAUAUUGAACCGCAUGGUUCAAUAGUGAAAGACGGUUUUGCUGUCACUUAUAGAUGGAUCCGCGCCGCAUUAGCUAGUUGGUAAGGUAACGGCUUACCAAGGCAACGAUGCGUAGCCGACCUGAGAGGGUGAUAGGCCACACUGGAACUGAGACACGGUCCAGACUCCUACGGGAGGCAGCAGUAGGGAAUCUUCCGCAAUGGGCGAAAGCUUGACGGAGCAACGCCGCGUGAGUGAUGAAGGUCUUCGGAUCGUAAAACUCUGUUAUUAGGGAAGAACAAAUGUGUAAGUAACUAUGCACGUCUUGACGGUACCUAAUCAGAAAGCAACGGCUAACUACGUG